rnacentral:misc_RNA from 1 species
CGCAUAGCGGGUGCGGCCGUUCUCGCGGCCCGCUCCCCGCCCCGACUCGUCGGGACACCCUGUUUUUUGAGUACCAACCGUUUCCUCGGCGGGCUUGCCCGCCAACGGGGGACCCCCUAAAACCUUUGUAAUGAGCAGUCCGUCAGUACAAACAUGAAAUUAUCA